GGUUUCUUAGCUCAGCGGUAGAGCGUAGGAUUGCAGUUCACCUAACUUCUAUCCUACGGUCGCGUGUUCGAUCCACGCAGGAACCU
rfam:Oidiodendron maius Zn unplaced genomic scaffold scaffold_18, whole genome shotgun sequence.